GGUGCCAUUUGUAAUAAUUGAGGUAAAAGAUUUUUAAAAAUUAGUUACACGCAUCAAAAGAAUGAGAAGAAAUAAGGGCAAAGAUGUCAUUAAAAAAAUGACAAGGUAUAGUGCUGCAGAAAUAUCAAUCUGAAUUAGCAUGCUAAAUUACUAGCUACAGCCCGACUGGUGUUGUAAUACCAGUUUCGACCAUGGGAGGCGGUAUGCGGGCCACGCACAUAACCGCCAGCCAAACUGCAAUACACGAAUAAGUGGGAGUACAGCCCUCUACUAGUACCGCUGCGUCUGAAAACUAAGGCAGCUGACUUGUUGAUUUAAGAUUUAUGAAUGCAGCUCAGAGAAAUGCAAUUCGGACAGCCAUGGAUUCGGACAUGCCUUGAUGCAUUCCUGCCUUGCAAUAGGGGUUUCGGACGUAUUUCAGUUCAGGGAAGAGAGCGGAAGAAUGGCUAAAGCAAGAGACAUUUACCACUACCACAAACAUUUGCUGCAGGGAACAACGCGCUCGGAAUCACAAAUAAAAUAUGAUAAAUAAAGUAACCGAACCAGAGUAAAUACUGGCACUGCUUUUCAUCGCUGGAGACAACUAAUGAACAUGAAAGAAAUGAGGUUCGACUCCGAAAUGACAACUUUUCUUUUCGAUUGCGACAGACGGGCCGCCAGCCUAAACCUUCAUUCAACUCUCUCUCUCAUCUUUCUCCACCCUUUCAUUUUGGAGAUGUGUGAAGUGCAGCUGUGUGCUGUCUCUCUGAUUUCCCCUGAGACGGUGAUGAGUCAGAAAGUGAAGCUCAAACCUGCAGGAACAGCUUAUCUUUACACACUCAUUCAUGAGCACGUCUGCCUCACCUGCUCCCUUAUAUGUGCUUUAAAAAAAGAGCACGUUUACAAACACGUGUUGGCUAUACUGGGCGGCUUCAAGCGUCUACGCUCGACUGAAUCAUUACACAGUGUUUGUUAUUAUAGUGCAAGUCAGUGAACAGCAUCAGACAGACUCACUGUCCUUCGCUGGUCUCGUUUCCCUCACACGCAGCUCCUUUGGGAAGCACCUCCAGUCUGAAAAACACACAUGGAUGUAGAGGAUCAUACUUUGGGGCAGAGAUAAAUGGUACAGGGAUACACAAAGGUGAUACAUGGGUGCAGGAGUUAACUCACCUGGCUUCCAUUCCACACUGUUGUCAGACAUCUCAAUUUUCUGAUAUUUGUCAGAAUAGCGCUCCACAUCUGUUA